CCUACGGGAGGCAGCAGUGAGGAAUAUUGGUCAAUGGCCGGGAGGCUGAACCAGCCAAGUCGCGUGAGGGAAGACGGCCCUACGGGUUGUAAACCUCUUUUGUCAGGGAGCAAGGUGCAGGUCGGGACCUGCUGUGAGCGGACCUGACGAAAAAGCAUCGGCUAACUCCGUGCCAGCAGCCGCGGUAAUACGGAGGAGGCGAGCGUUAUCCGGAUUUAUUGGGUUUAAAGGGUGCGCAGGCGGAGGCACAAGUCAGCGGUAAAAUCGCGGGGCUCAACCCCGCUCCGCCGUUGAAACUGUGGCCCUUGAGUGCGCGAAGGGUAGGCGGAAUGCGUGGUGUAGCGGUGAAAUGCAUAGAUAUCACGCAGAACUCCGAUCGCGAAGGCAGCCUACCGGCGCGCAACUGACGCUCAUGCACGAAAGCGUGGGUAUCGAACAGGAUUAGAUACCCGGGUAGUC
rnacentral:rRNA from 1 species